GCUAGCUCAGUUGGUUAGAGCGACUGGUUUACACCCAGUAGGUCACAGGUUCGAGUCCUGU
rnacentral:tRNA from 1 species